AUUGAACGCUGGCGGCAUGCCUUACACAUGCAAGUCGAACGGUAACAGGUCUUCGGAUGCUGACGAGUGGCGAACGGGUGAGUAAUACAUCGGAACGUGCCCGAUCGUGGGGGAUAACGAGGCGAAAGCUUUGCUAAUACCGCAUACGAUCUACGGAUGAAAGCGGGGGAUCUUCGGACCUCGCGCGGACGGAGCGGCCGAUGGCAGAUUAGGUAGUUGGUGGGAUAAAAGCUUACCAAGCCGACGAUCUGUUGCUGGUCUGAGAGGAUGAUCAGCCACACUGGGACUGAGACACGGCCCAGACUCCUACGGGAGGCAGCAGUGGGGAAUUUUGGACAAUGGGCGAAAGCCUGAUCCAGCCAUGCCGCGUGCAGGAUGAAGGCCUUCGGGUUGUAAACUGCUUUUGUACGGAACGAAAAGCCUCUUUCUAAUAAAGAGGGGUCAUGACGGUACCGUAAGAAUAAGCACCGGCUAACUACGUG
rnacentral:rRNA from 1 species